CCUGGAAAAACAUGAUUUUCUUUUAGUUUUUCUGGGAUCUGGUCUUCUAGUAGGAGGUCUGGGAGUGGGUAUUACUUCCUAACCCAAUAUUUUCAGCCUUUUCCUUAGGAUUUGUUCUUGUUUGUAUAUCUUUAUUGUAUAUUCUAGCAAAUUCCAUUUUGUAGCUGCUGCACAACUCCUUAUUUACGUGGGAGCCAUAAAUGUUUUAAUCAUAUUUGCUGUGAUUUCAUGAAUGAUUCCGAAUAUUCCAUAGAUUUCAAUCUGUGGACUGUUUGGAAUGGGAAUUACUUCAGUGGUUUGUACAACUAUUCUUUUUUCAUUAAUUUCUACUAUUCUCGAUACGUCAUGGUACGGGGUUAUUUGACUACAAGAUUAAACCAGAUUUUAGAACAAGAUUUAAUAAGUAAUAGUCACAAAUAGGAAUUCAUUUAUCAACAGAUUUUUUUCUUCCAUUUGAACUCAUUUCAAUAAUUCUUUUAGUUGGCUUUGAUAGGUGCAAUUUCUGUGGCUCGUCAAUAAAAAAGGUUCCAAUUAGUAAAGACCAAAGAAAACUUUGUGUUUGUGUAUGUUAUGAAUUUUUUUUCCGUUCAUUCAUUUGAUUGAAUACUAUUUCAUUUUUUAAAUAUAAUUUUUAUAUUUAUAUAUAUUUGAAAUUUUUUCCCUAAUAUAGUUUUUAUUCGUACUUUGUUGUUAUAUUCUAGUUGAUUGAAUCCGGUGAAUUGUUUUUAUUAUUCAUAUUGAUAAUGAAUCAAAAUUGAUAAGGAGUUGCUCAAUGAUACUCGAACAUGUACUUGUUUUGAGUGCCUAUUUAUUUUUGAUUGGUCUUUAUGGAUUGAUCACGAGUCGAAAUAUGGUUAGGGCUCUUAUGUGCCUUGAACUUAUACUCAAUGCAGUUAAUAUGAAUCUCGUAACAUUUGCUGAUUUUUUUGAUAAUUCCAACUAAAAGGGGAUAUUUUCUGCAUUUUUGUUAUAGCAAUUGCAGCCGCUGAAGCAGCUAUUGGAUUAGCUAUAGUCUCGUCAAUUUAUCGUAACAGAAAAUCAACUCGCAUCAACCAAUCGACCUUAUUAAAUAAGUAGCAUAAAUCAAAAAAUUAUAGGUUUAAAUUUGCAUAUAUGAUAGGUUAUGACUUACUAGAUUAAUUUGUGAAAAUUUAAGAAAUCAAAGUAUUUUAGCCCCAUUUUUUACCAAUUGAGCCAGAAUUCAUUAAAAAUUCUAUUAAAAGAAAUCAUUGCUUCAUCUAGUAUUUUAAUUUAAUAUAUCAUUUAGUUAUAAGUUUACUAGAUUGAAAAUUUAUGACAUUAAAAAAACUAUAGAUCCUAUGUCACAUUCAGUAAAAAUUUAUGAUACCUGUAUAGGAUGUACUCAGUGUGUCCGAGCAUGUCCUACAGACGUAUUAGAAAUGAUACCUUGGGAUGGAUGUAAAGCUAAGCAAAUAGCUUCUGCCCCAAGAACCGAGGAUUGUGUUGGUUGUAAGAGAUGUGAAUCUGCCUGUCCAACGGAUUUUUUGAGCGUUCGAGUUUAUUUAUGGCAUGAAACAACUCGAAGCAUGGGUCUAGCUUAUUAAUACGUUACCGAAAACCUGAUUUGAAUAAAUUUGGAAUACAUUUUAUUUUUUUUAUUGACAAGUACUCGUACUCAAAAAAGUUCAAUUAUAUUUUUUUAUUUAUAUAUUUUUUUGAGUACGCGUUCUUUGGACCUGGUGUAUCUUGUCUUUACCACGAAUGAUUUUCCUUGGUUAACAAUAAUUGUUGUUUUUCCAAUAUCUGCCGGUUCAUUAAUGUUAUUUCUCCCGCAUAGGGGAAAUAAAGUUAAUAAGUGGUAUACUAUAUGCAUUUGUAUCUUAGAACUUCUUCUAACGACUUACGCUUUUUGUUAUAAUUUUAAACUGGACGAUCCAUUAAUUCAACUGUCCGAAGAUUAUAAAUGGAUCAAUCUUUUUGAUUUUUAUUGGAGACUGGGAAUAGAUGGACUUUCUAUAGGAACGAUUUUACUGACCGGAUUUAUUACUACUUUAGCUACUUUAGCGGCUUUUCCAGUUACUCGGGAUUCCCGAUUAUUCUAUUUCCUGAUGUUAGCAAUGUACAGCGGCCAAAUAGGAUCGUUUUCUUCUCGGGAUAUUUUACUUUUUUUCAUCAUGUGGGAAUUAGAAUUAAUUCCCGUUUAUCUCCUUUUAUCCAUGUGGGGUGGAAAGAAACGUUUGUAUUCAGCUACAAAAUUUAUUUUAUACACUGCAGGAAGUUCUAUUUUUUAUUAUAGGAGUUUUAGGUAUAAGUUUAUAUGGUUCGAACGAACCAACAUUAAAUUUAGAACUAUUAGGGAAUCAAGCCUAUCCGGUCACACUCGAAAUACUCUUUUAUAUUGGAUUUCUUAUUGCUUUUGCCGUCAAAUCACCGAUUAUACCUUUACAUACUUGGUUACCUGACACCCACGGCGAGGCACAUUACAGUACCUGUAUGCUUCUCGCUGGAAUCUUAUUAAAAAUGGGAGCAUAUGGAUUGGUUCGAAUCAAUAUGGAAUUAUUACCUCACGCUCAUUCUAUGUUUUCUCCUUGGUUGAUGGUAGUCGGUACAAUCCAAAUAAUUUAUGCAGCUUCAACAUCUCCCGGUCAACGUAAUUUAAAAAAGAGAAUAGCCUAUUCUUCUGUAUCUCAUAUGGGUUUUAUAAUUAUAGGUAUUGGUUCUAUAACGGAUCCUGGGCUUAAUGGAGCUAUUUUACAAAUAAUCUCUCAUGGAUUUAUUGGCGCUGCACUUUUUUUCUUGGCAGGAACUAGUUAUGAUAGAAUCCGGCUUGUUUAUCUUGAUGAAAUGGGUGGAAUGGCUAUCUCCAUUCCAAAGAUAUUUACAAUGUUCACUAUCUUAUCGAUGGCUUCCCUUGCAUUACCGGGCAUGAGUGGUUUUGUUGCCGAAUUAAUCGUUUUUUUUGGAAUAAUUACCAGCCAAAAAUAUUUCUUAAUUUCAAAAAUUUUAAUUAUUUUUGUAAUGGCAAUUGGAAUGAUAUUAACUCCUAUAUAUUUAUUAUCUAUGUCACGUCAAAUGUUCUAUGGAUACAAGUUAAUUAAUGCCAAAAACUUUUCUUUUUUUGAUUCUGGACCCCGAGAGUUAUUUCUUUCAAUCUCUAUUCUUCUACCCAUAAUUGGUAUUGGGAUUUAUCCUGAUUUUGUGCUCUCAUUAGCAAGUGACAAGGUCGAAUCCAUUUUAUCUAAUUAUUUUUAUGGAUAGUUUUCAGGAAAUAAAAAAAAACAUUAAAUUGAAUUAUAAUAAGAAGUCUUUGCUUUUUGUAUUGUGAGAACCUUUUGAAUCAUUGUACUACUUGAUUCAAAAGGUUCUUGAUGAUUUACUACUAAAACUAAAUUAGAUUUCUUAACUUAGAUGAAGUUAUAUAUAGAUGCUAUUUUUUUUAUUUGGAUUCUUUUCUUUUUUUGUUAAUGUUUUAGUUAAUUCGAUGUAAUGAACCAUAACUAUGUAAACCUAUUCCUAAAAGAUUGACGCCAAAAUAGCAUAUCCAAAUUAAAAGAAAACCUAGCGAAGCCACAAUUGCAGAAUUUAUACCUCGAGCAUUCCUAUUUGUUUUAAUAUGUAAAUAAAUUGCGAAGAUGGUCCAAGUAAUAAAUGCCCAGGUUUCUUUCGGAUCCCAAUUCCAAUAUGAACCCCAUGUUUCAUUAGCCCAUACAGCUCCUGAAAGAAUGCCGACGGUUAAAAAGAUAAAUCCGAGACUAAUAAUACGAAAACUCAAUAAUCUAAUUGUUCAAUCAAUUGAUACCUAUAAUAAUUUCUAGAAAAACUAAAAUUAAUAUUUUGUUGUAUUUUUCGUAUUAUUAGUCUCGGAUUUAUCUUUUUAACCGUCGGCAUUCUUUCAGGAGCUGUAUGGGCUAAUGAAACAUGGGGUUCAUAUUGGAAUUGGGAUCCGAAAGAAACCUGGGCAUUUAUUACUUGGACCAUCUUCGCAAUUUAUUUACAUAUUAAAACAAUAGGAAUGCUCGAGGUAUAAAUUCUGCAAUUGUGGCUUCGCUAGGUUUUCUUUUAAUUUGGAUAUGCUAUUUUGGCGUCAAUCUUUAGGAAUAGGUUUACAUAGUUAUGGUUCAUUUACAUCGAAUUAACUAAAACAUUAACAAAAAAAAAAGAAUCCAAAUAAAAAAAUAGCAUCUAUAUAUAACUUCAUCUAAGUUAAGAAAUCUAAUUUAGUUUUAGUAGUAAAUCAUCAAGAACCUUUUGAAUCAAGUAGUACAAUGAUUCAAAAGGUUCUCACAAUACAAAAGCAAAGACUUCUUAUUAUAAUUCAAUUUAAUGUUUUUUUUUAUUUCCUGAAAACUAUCCAUAAAAAUAAUUAGAUAAAAUGGAUUCGACCUUGUCACUUGCUAAUGAGAGCACAAAAUCAGGAUAAAUCCCAAUACCAAUUAUGGGUAGAAGAAUAGAGAUUGAAAGAAAUAACUCUCGGGGUCCAGAAUCAAAAAAAGAAAAGUUUUUGGCAUUAAUUAACUUGUAUCCAUAGAACAUUUGACGUGACAUAGAUAAUAAAUAUAUAGGAGUUAAUAUCAUUCCAAUUGCCAUUACAAAAAUAAUUAAAAUUUUUGAAAUUAAGAAUAUUUUUGGCUGGUAAUUAUUCCAAAAAAACGAUUAAUUCGGCAACAAAACCACUCAUGCCCGGUAAUGCAAGGGAAGCCAUCGAUAAGAUAGUGAACAUUGUAAAUAUCUUUGGAAUGGAGAUAGCCAUUCCACCCAUUUCAUCAAGAUAAACAAGCCGGAUUCUAUCAUAACUAGUUCCUGCCAAGAAAAAAGUGCAGCGCCCAAUAAAUCCAUGAGAGAUUAUUUGUAAAAUAGCUCCAUUAAGCCCAGGAUCCGUUAUAGAACCAAUACCUAUAAUUAUAAAACCCAUAUGAGAUACAGAAGAAUAGGCUAUUCUCUUUUUAAAUUACGUUGACCGGGAGAUGUUGAAGCUGCAUAAAUUAUUUGGAUUGUACCGACUACCAUCAACCAAGGAGAAAAACAUAGAAUGAGCGUGAGGUAAUAAUUCCAUAUUGAUUCGAACCAAUCCAUAUGCUCCCAUUUUUAAUAAGAUUCCAGCGAGAAGCAUACAGGUACUGUAAUGUGCCUCGCCGUGGGUGUCAGGUAACCAAGUAUGUAAAGGUAUAAUCGGUGAUUUGACGGCAAAAGCAAUAAGAAAUCCAAUAUAAAAGAGUAUUUCGAGUGUGACCGGAUAGGCUUGAUUCCCUAAUAGUUCUAAAUUUAAUGUUGGUUCGUUCGAACCAUAUAAACUUAUACCUAAAACUCCUAUUAAUAAAAAAUAGAACUUCCUGCAGUGUAUAAAAUAAUUUUGUAGCUGAAUACAAACGUUUCUUUCCACCCCACAUGGAUAAAAGGAGAUAAACGGGAAUUAAUUCUAAUUCCCACAUGAUGAAAAAAGUAAAAUAUCCCGAGAAGAAAACGAUCCUAUUUGGCCGCUGUACAUUGCUAACAUCAAAAUAGAAUAAUCGGGAAUCCCGAGUAACUGGAAAAGCCGCUAAAGUAGCUAAAGUAGUAAUAAAUCCGGUCAGUAAAAUCGUUCCUAUAGAAAGUCCAUCUAUUCCCAGUCUCCAAUAAAAAUCAAAAAGAUUGAUCCAUUUAUAAUCUUCGGACAGUUGAAUUAAUGGAUCGUCCAGUUUAAAAUUAUAAC